rnacentral:rRNA from 1 species
UACGUAGGGUGCAAGCGUUAAUCGGAAUUACUGGGCGUAAAGCGUGCGCAGGCGGUUGUGUAAGCCAGAUGUGAAAUCCCCGGGCUUAACCUGGGAAUGGCAUUUGGGACUGCAAGGCUGGAGUGUGGCAGAGGAGACUGGAAUUCCUGGUGUAGCAGUGAAAUGCGUAGAUAUCAGGAGGAAUACCGAUGGCGAAGGCAGGUCUCUGGGCUGACACUGACGCUCAUGCACGAAAGCGUGGGGAGCAAACAGG